UACAGAGGUCCCGAGCGUUGUUCGGAUUCACUGGGCGUAAAGGGUGCGUAGGUGGCGGGGAAAGUCGGAUGUGAAAUCUCGGAGCUCAACUCCGAAAUGGCAUUGGAAACUACCCCUGCUUGAGGUUUGGAGGGGGGGACUGGAAUUCUCGGUGUAGCAGUAGAAAUGCGUAGAUAUCGAGAGGAACACCAGUGGCGAAGGCGAGUCCCCUGGACAAAAACCUGACACUGAGGCACGAAAGCUAGGGGGAGCAAACAGG
rnacentral:rRNA from 1 species